GAUCAUGGCUCAGGAUGAACGCUAGCUACAGGCUUAACACAUGCAAGUCGAGGGGAAACGACAUCGUAAAGCUUGUCUUUGAUGGGCGUCGACCGGCGCACGGUGAGUAACGCGUAUCCAACCUGCCCAUCACUUGGGAAUAACCUUGCGAAAGUAAGACUAAUGCCCAAUGAUAUCCCACGAAGGCAUCCGAAUGGGAUUAAAGAUUUAUCGGUGAUGGAUGGGGAUGCGU
rnacentral:rRNA from 1 species